rnacentral:rRNA from 1 species
AAAGGGUGCGUAGGCGGCCUGUUAAGUCAGGGGUGAAAGACGGUAGCUCAACUAUCGCAGUGCCCUUGAUACUGAUGGGCUUGAAUAUACUAGAGGUAGGCGGAAUGUGACAAGUAGCGGUGAAAUGCAUAGAUAUGUCACAGAACACCAAUUGCGAAGGCAGCUUACUAUGGUAUGAUUGACGCUGAGGCACGAAAGCGUGGGGAUCAAACAGGAUUAGAUACCCCAGU